CACGUGUGUAUAUACUAGGUCACAAUUUUAAAUGUAUUCCUUACUAAGAAUCAUGGUAAAAAAAAAAAUUGAAAAUCAUUGUUCUACAGUAUUUUGCAAAGAGUAAAAAGGAAGAUUACUAAUGUCUGCCCUAAAUACAUGAGCUCUAACAGGAAUAUUGAAAGAAUUGAAGACAGCCUGCUGAAGCAAGAUGGAACUUUAAAUUCUGAGGCCCAACCCAUCAUAUCGUCUGGAGAGAAGAGGGGGAAAUGAUGUCUGAAGAACUUAAGUGACUUGAAUGUGAUAGCAGAGAUAGACACCAGGUCCCCUGAUUCUUACAGUAGCAAACUGGCCCUUUCCACUGUACACUACAGCUAUGUGGAAAAAAAAAAUUAACCUCAAUCCUUACCUUACACUGCAUACAAAAUUUAAGUGGAAAUGAAUCACAGACCUGAAAUUAAGAGCUAAAACCUCAAAACUUCUAAAAGAAAGCACAGGAAAAAAAUUUAAUUGACCUAGAUUUGGCAAAGAUUUCUUACAUAUAACACAAAAAGCACUAACUAUAAUGAAAAAAUUCAAUGAAUUAGACCUCAUCAAAAUUAGACCACAGCAAUCUGACUCAUAAUCACAUGUAAAGAUGUUCAAUGUCCACUGGUCAUUUGGGAAAUCCAAAUUAUAAAUACAAUGAAAUACUACUACACUAGACCGCUGGUAAUACCACCAGAAUGACCUAAAACCAAAAAGACUGAUCAUACCAAGUGUCAGUAAGUAUAUGGAGUAAUUCAAACUCUCAUACUCUGCUGGUGGAAAUGUAAAACUGUAUAAUCACUUGAAACAGUUUAGCAGUUUCUGGAAAAUGUAAACAUAUGCCUACUAUAUGACACAGCCAUUCCACUGCUAGCUAUUCACCAGAGGAAAGAAAGCACAUGUCCACACAAAGAUCUAUACAUGAAUGUUUACAGGCACUUAGUUUGUAAUCGCCAAAAACUUGAAGUUACCCAAAUGUCUAUCAACUGGUGCAUGGAUAAACAAAGUGUGCUAUAUCUUUAAAAUGGAAUAAUUAACAAUAAUAAAAAGGAAUAAACUAUUGAUACAUGCAACAUCA